UUUGGUUGACGUACCCUAUGGUUGAUGUUUUUUUAAUCAUCGAAAGAAAGAAAAUUCACCAAUUGUCCCGUUUUCUGCUAAAAUUGCCGUAACCAACGUUUAACAACUGGCCCAUUUCUUCCGCGUGUCCGUGUUUGUGGUCAUUCCGAGGGCCAUCGACCUGUGCAUUUCGCCUGCUGCGGCAGGAAUGUGUUAAACGUUUAAGCAUGAGUGCUUUCUAAAAACCAAAACAAACUAAACCUGCUUUGCUGGGUUGCUCGGGUGGUACGUGUGACUAAUGAACAGUGCCCUCCCCAUUCGUUUCAUUCGAUUGUAAAAUGGGGUUGUUUGCUAGCAGACAAAAUGCCACCGUCGAGGAGACAGAUGUGAGCCUCAACCAUCUGUACAAGUAUCCCCCACGGUCGGGCAACUAUUUCGGGACACAUUUCAUAAUGGGCGGUGAGAGGUUCGAUACUCCGCAACCAGAGGCGUAUCUGUUUGGCGAGAAUGCAGACUUGAACUUUUUAGGAUCCAAACCUACCCCAUUUCCCUACCCACCGCCCCAAGCGACGGAACCAACGAAAACACUGAAAAGUCUUGUAAACAUUCGCAAGGAAUCGGUCCGCUUCGUGAAGGUACUUGACGCUGGCAACAGUGUGAAACCGAUCGUAGGUACGGCUGGUUCCGACCCGGCUGUAAAAUCCAACCCAACGAACAACGGUAGCGUCAGCAAUGGCUACAACAUUGAGUUUAUCUUCGAUGCCGAUUCCGCUUGCCAAAUCACCAUCCACUACUUCUGCAACGAAGACAUCAGGCCGGGUGGGCUAAACUACAUCUCGCGCGAUGCCUCCAUGACGUCGGAAACGUUCCACUUCCAGCGGGGCGUGAACCAACUGUUCUCCGCACCCCAUCACAUUAUCUAUCCGGCGAUGUGCGCCGAGGAGGAUCUAACGUACAGCCCCGAAAAGGAAACCUUUCCAGUCGUCAUCCACUGUGUGGUCGGCGAGGGAAACACUACGACUGCAACGAUCAAUAGCGCCAACAACAACACGACCACCAGCGUCGCCAACGCCACUACCAUCUCUUCCACCGGGGCCACCGGAGACGGGGGCGAUGGGGCCGGCAGCCGCCAGUCACAUGCCACGAUCUGUGUCAUCGAUCACCAUUCCGACGGAACGUAUGCGUUACGUGCGUUGAAGCAAAAAAUUUUCGUCGAUGGUCUGUACUACCUGCUGCAGGAGAUUUACGGCAUCGAGAACAAGCUGGCCAACAAAUCGCUCACGGACGAGGAGACGGAGGAUAAUGGUAGCGAGUGCGUCAUCUGCAUGUGUGACACGCGCGACACACUUAUACUGCCCUGCCGGCAUCUGUGCCUGUGCAACUCGUGUGCAGACUCGCUACGCUACCAGGCUAACAAUUGCCCGAUCUGCCGGGCUCCGUUCCGUGCGCUGUUGCAGAUACGAGCAGUUCAGAAGGAUGGUGGCGGUGGUCUUCCCUGUAGCGGAAGUGCACCAGCGGCCCAAAAUUCUGGCGAUAGCGCUGAUAACAUUCCUGCCGGCUACAAGACCAUAUCACUCAUCGAAGCGCUAAACGGACCCACAGUUUCAAUGAAAGCGAUAAACGGCAGUAACGACUCAACUGCCGGGACGGAAAACGGUAGCGAGAACAAUCGGGCUGCCGAGAAUGGGUACGCGUUCCGCAACAAAAUGACCAAGUCAUCGACGGACCACAGCAGCAACGGCGAGCUCGCCAACGGAAGUAUCGUGUCGGAAAAGUCAUCGUCCGACAUCAGGAUGCAUUUACUUUCGUCCGAAGAAGCUACCAACGCGAUUGGGGACGGUGGCACGGGUGCAUCGAUCGUCGGCGGCAUAGCAAAUCCGUCGGCGACCGUCUGCACCAAGAAGGAGUUGCUGUCCAAACAUUCGCCGCUCAUGCAGCGUGCCCCGGUCAGCAAGGACAAGAACCCACGGGAAAAGGGCAGUCUUCACCGCACUGGAAACAACGCCGCCAGCAACGGGUCGAAAGCGAAAUCACCAUCCGAUCGUAGCACGAUGGGCUUUCAUCUCGUGCACGAGAAGGUGGCCCCGACUAGUGCCGGUGGCCCCGGUGGAAAGCUGACCGAAACGAAGCUAACCGAGCUAGCGGAAAACGAUGACGAUAGUGAGGCGGAGAAGCUGUCUCCGCUGUUGCGCAAAUCGGACAGUUACGACGCUGGCAAGAAACUUUCCACACACGGCGACAGUGCGAUGAAGAAGCUGCUGAUCGGCGGAACCGGAGGGAACGGAAUCAACGGACUGGAUGGCAGCGAGAAAACAUCACCUUCCGCCGUAAUAACGGAACUGCUGAAGGGUGCCAUCAUUGGCAGUGAUGAUAUGGCGGUUGAUGGCAGUACGGAGAUGGGACUGUCGGUCGUCGGUGGUACCAGAGGUGUUGUCGCUGGUGGUGGUGCUAUUAUAUCGAUCGUAACGGACGACUCCGAAGAUUACUACACGCCGGAAGAUCCGCCCGCAACGAGCCCACUGAAAUCGAUCGACGAUGAUGACGAGCUUCCGAAGCUGGCCGACAUUGAUGCUGGCCGGAAGCUGCUCGUAGCCUCCGUAACGACUGCCCCCGGUUCGGCCAUAGUCUCGGUACCGCCCGCAGCCCUGGCGGUAUUGAAGGAGGAGUUUUCGCAGGGUUCGCUGCCGGACAGCCCGAUCAGUGGAAACUCGCAGACGUCGACGCGCAGCUCGAGCGACAGCUAUUCGUCCAGCUCCAGCACGCGCCAGCUGCUUUCGUCUGGCGCCGUUCCUAACGACACUCCAACCCAUGUGCUGAGCUCGUGCGAUUCGACCACUGCCAACGGGCAUAGCAGUGUUUCGAAGGCGGCCGAGUGUGCGAUCGAGAGUGACUAGACGACUGCGCGGCGGCGGCUGCUCGACGCCCGGCGCAUGUACGAUGAAUUGGUGCUGCUUACUAAGAACUAGGAACAAUGUUUCUUCGAUACUGGAAACAUUAACAAAGGUUGCCCCAGCCCGGUGCUGAUGCACCGGUGCAAUGAUGUCACCGUGUUUAACGCCCCCUCCGUAAUCGUAAGCGUGUUUGGAAACUCUGUUCAUUAUCGCAAUAUGUCCUUACAUCACACUACGUCCGUAUCGUGCGUUUUUGAAAUUCCUGCCUCCCCCUCUUCCCCCCCCGUUUUAAGUCAUUAAUAUUGGCUGUCGUUUUCUUUGCGCGAUGGCUACGAUCUGUGUUAGUUUAAUUGUCCCCAUUGUUUGCUAUCGGACUGCUAAGUGUACUCUAUCGGAUCAAACCAAGCGUAGCAUAACAUGCAAUGAUAAACGUAGGUGUAAAACUUUGAGUAACAUGAUAAUAAAACUGAUAUUUUCAUAUUUAAA